UACGUAGGGUGCAAGCGUUAAUCGGAAUUACUGGGCGUAAAGCGUGCGCAGGCGGUUAUGUAAGACAGGUGUGAAAUCCCAGGGCUUAACCUUGGAACUGCGAUUUGUGACUGCAUAGCUAGAGUACGGUAGAGGGGGAUGGAAUUCCGCGUGUAGCAGUGAAAUGCGUAGAUAUGCGGAGGAACACCGAUGGCGAAGGCAAUCCCCUGGACCUGUACUGACGCUCAUGCACGAAAGCGUGGGGGAGCAAACAGG
rnacentral:rRNA from 1 species